ACCAACAAACAAUACCAAACACGAUUUAUACAAAUAUCAGAGUUUACAUGGACACAGGGGAACUUUCAUUUUUAUUUUAGUUUUUUUGGUAGUCUCAGUAAAGAUAUAUAGGUUUGGUCCUCCAUAGAUAUAGGCCUAUUCAAAUUCAAUAAUACAACAAUUAACAACAGAGAAUGAAUUAUCGCUUGUGUAUGUUAUAAGGUGACACUUCAUUUCACGUGCUUUCCAUACCGGAGUCGCGGACAUUGAAGCGCGUUCUCGGUAAGUCUUUAGGGUUUAGGGUGGUCCGCCUGUCCCAAUGUCAAAUUGUUAAGUGAGAGAAGGCUCUAUCGCAGACAUUUUGAGCCCUUUAUGCACCCUUUUCUUAAGUCUGCAUUUUGCUAAGGGAAAUGCCCUCAGCGCUGUGACUUGAAACAGACGUCGGGUUACCAAGGGAAUCCCGGAAGCAAACCCGCCUCGAAGAAAGAAGAACGGGAGCGAUCAACAAACCCUGCAAUUCAUUAAUCUGCGGAUGGAGCACGAUGCUCAGUUUACUGGCCACAGAAAAGCAUCUGCUUAUGGAUUUCAUGUGGUCAUAAAAGAGAUGGGACUGGAUGACCGUCUGACAAACGCCCAAGCAGCUAAGAAAUGGGAAAACUUAAAGAAAAGUAUAGGGAUCUGAUACAACAAAUGACCAGAUCAGGGACAGAGGGCGGGGAGGUAACAGCUGCAAGCUGGCCUUUCUUCAACGCGAUGCACACAGCUCUGGGGCAGAGGAACUCUUUCAGGCCUCUGAACAUCAUCAAAACAGCUGUUGACUCAGAUGUUGAAGAGGAGCCUGAUGAGGUGGCCAGUACCUCUGCUCUUGGGCUAUCCACUACCCUGUCUGAAGGUUCCAGAAGUAUCAAAUCCCGAAAAAGAAAAAAUGAGGUUAUAGAGUACCUGAAGGAAUACACAGAAAGGCAAGAAAAGAGGCAGAGAGAGCUGGAUGAAAGGGAGGAAGAGAGGGAAAAUAAAAAGCAGGACCAAAUAGACAAACUUAUUUGCAUCUUAGGGAAGUUGGUGGAAAAGCAGUAGUUGUUUCAUUUGUUUGUUGGAAUAUUUUCAUGCAUUAUCAACCCCAUGGAUUGGUCAGUUAUGAUUUUAUGAAGUCCUAAUUUUAAAUGAUGUUGUUUUAUAGAUUUGUUUCUUAAGUCAGAUGAUGGUUUAAAGCUGCAUGACAUUAAACAUGAGUUGCUUUA